GUGCGCGUGCGCAGGGAUAAGAGAGCGGUCUGGACAGCGCGUGGCCGGCGCCGCUGUGGGGACAGCAUGAGCGGCGGUUGGAUGGCGCAGGUUGGAGCGUGGCGAACAGGGGCUCUGGGCCUGGCGCUGCUGCUGCUGCUCGGCCUCGGACUAGGCCUGGAGGCCGCCGCGAGCCCGCUUUCCACCCCGACCUCUGCCCAGGCCGCAGAGGAGAUAGACCCUCCCUGCUGACCUGAGCCCGGGAGCCUGACCCAGGGCAUGUGGAAAAAUGGCCCGUCCCUCAGUCUCUUUAACCACUGAGUUUGGAGGUCUCCCUGGCAGAUCAUCUCGCUAUGAGGAGCCUGGUGAAGACUCUGGGAUCAGCGAGACCUGAGUUCGAAGCCCAACUCCGCUACCAGCUCUUUUUUUUUUCUUUUUUGUGGUGACGGAGUCUCGUUCUGUCGCCCAGGCUGGAGUGCAGCAGUAUGAUUUCGGUUCAUUGCAACCUCCAUC
rnacentral:lncRNA from 1 species